rnacentral:rRNA from 1 species
UACGUAGGGUGCAAGCGUUAAUCGGAAUUACUGGGCGUAAAGCGUGCGCAGGCGGUUGUGUAAGACAGAUGUGAAAUCCCCGGGCUCAACCUGGGAACUGCAUUUGUGACUGCACAGCUGGAGUGCGGCAGAGGGGGAUGGAAUUCCGCGUGUAGCAGUGAAAUGCGUAGAUAUGCGGAGGAACACCGAUGGCGAAGGCAGCCCCCUGGGCUAACACUGACGCUCAGGCACGAAAGCGUGGGGAGCAAACAGG